rnacentral:rRNA from 1 species
GUUACCCCGGGGAUAACAGGCUGGUACUGCCCAAGAGUCCAUAUCGACGGCAGUGUUCGGCACCUCGAUGUCGGCUCACCUUAUCCUGGAGCUGGAGCAGGUUCCAAGGGUUUGACUGUUCGUCAAUUAAAAAGGUACGCGAGCUGGGUUCAGACCGUCGAGCAACGAAGUUGCUUGACUAGUAAAAAGUUGAAAAUAGGAAGUUUAUAAAAACUUCGUAAUUCGACAGUCUGAGUCCACUCUAACGACACAAAAUCAAGGUACUUUUCGUCUAUUAAAUGAGAAUAGCUUCUAUCGUAUUGCGAUAGAGGCGAGAGCAAUCUAAUCACGGCGGCCAAGCACCACUUUUUCAAAAAGUUGGUGCUUGGUGAAGCUGACUAAAUUCGGUGGAAUCCUAUCUGGUUUUCAGAGGGCAAUACCGAUGGAAGCUGAGGCAGCUCGCUAACGCGACUGCACUUGGAUUUUCUAAAGCGAAGUGUCGCUAAGAAAAUCUCGGCGCCAGUAGAGACUGAACGUCAGCUAUCUUUGCACUAUCAUGGUGUAUAAGUUAAAGCUACAGUCCAAUGCACAUAGUAAUAUGUGAGAACAUGCGUGAGACAGGUUGGUCUUAAUCUGCUGUGGGCGUCGAUUUUUGAGAGGAUUUGUUCCCAGUACGAGAGGACCGGAAUGAACUAACCUCUGGUGUAUCAGCUGUUCCGCCAGGAGCACUGCUGAGUAGCUAUGUUGGGAAUGGAUAACCGCUGAAAGCAUCUAAGCGGGAAGCCAACCUUAAGAUUAGAAAUCAUAGACCCCUAGGAGAUGACUAGGUGAUAGGCUCUAGGUGUACGCACAGUAAUGUGUUUAGCCAAGGAGUACUAAUACGUCGU